AUUGAACGCUGGCGGCAUGCCUUACACAUGCAAGUCGAACGGUAACGGGCCUUCGGGUGCCGACGAGUGGCGAACGGGUGAGUAAUACAUCGGAACGUGCCCGAUCGUGGGGGAUAACGAGGCGAAAGCUUCGCUAAUACCGCAUACGAUCUACGGAUGAAAGCAGGGGACCGCAAGGCCUUGCGCGGACGGAGCGGCCGAUGGCAGAUGAGGUAGUUGGUGGGAUAAAAGCUUACCAAGCCGACGAUCUGUAGCUGGUCUGAGAGGAUGAUCAGCCACACUGGGACUGAGACACGGCCCAGACUCCUAAGGGAGGCAGCAGUGGGGAAUUUUGGACAAUGGGCGCAAGCCUGAUCCAGCCAUGCCGCGUGCAGGAUGAAGGCCUUCGGGUUGUAAACUGCUUUUGUACGGAACGAAAAGCCUUCUCCUAAUACAGGAGGGUCAUGACGGUACCGUAAGAAUAAGCACCGGCUAACUACGUGCCAGCAGCCGCGGUAA
rnacentral:rRNA from 1 species